CACGAACGCUGGCGGCAGGCUUAACACAUGCAAGUCGAGCGCCCCGCAAGGGGAGCGGCAGACGGGUGAGUAACGCGUGGGAAUCUACCCAUCUCUACGGAAUAACGCAUGGAAACGUGUGCUAAUACCGUAUACGUCCUUCGGGAGAAAGAUUUAUCGGAGAUGGAUGAGCCCGCGUUGGAUUAGCUAGUUGGUGGGGUAAAGGCCUACCAAGGCGACGAUCCAUAGCUGGUCUGAGAGGAUGAUCAGCCACACUGGGACUGAGACACGGCCCAGACUCCUCCGGGAGGCAGCAGUGGGGAAUAUUGGACAAUGGGCGCAAGCCUGAUCCAGCCAUGCCGCGUGAGUGAUGAAGGCCCUAGGGUUGUAAAGCUCUUUCACCGGGGAAGAUAAUGACGGUAACCGGAGAAGAAGCCCCGGCUAACUUCGUGCCAGCCGCCGCCGUAAGAC
rnacentral:rRNA from 1 species